rnacentral:rRNA from 1 species
GAACGCUAGCUACAGGCUUAACACAUGCAAGUCGAGGGGCAUCAGGAAGAAAGCUUGCUUUCUUUGCUGGCGACCGGCGCACGGGUGAGUAACACGUAUCCAACCUGCCCUUUACUCGGGGAUAGCCUUUCGAAAGAAAGAUUAAUACCCGAUAGUAUAAUGAUUCCGCAUGGUUUCAUUAUUAAAGGAUUCCGGUAAAGGAUGGGGAUGCGUUCCAUUAGGUUGUUGGUGAGGUAACGGCCCACCAAGCCUUCGAUGGAUAGGGGUUCUGAGAGGAAGGUCCCCCACAUUGGAACUGAGACACGGUCCAAACUCCUACGGGAGGCAGCAGUGAGGAAUAUUGGUCAAUGGGCGCUAGCCUGAACCAGCCAAGUAGCGUGAAGGAUGAAGGCUCUAUGGGUCGUAAACUUCUUUUAUAUAAGAAUAAAGUGCAGUAUGUAUACUGUUUUGUAUGUAUUAUAUGAAUAAGGAUCGGCUAACUCCGUGCCAGCAGCCGCGGUAAUACGGAGGAUCCGAGCGUUAUCCGGAUUUAUUGGGUUUAAAGGGAGCGUAGGUGGACUGGUAAGUCAGUUGUGAAAGUUUGCGGCUCAACCGUAAAAUUGCAGUUGAUACUGUCAGUCUUGAGUACAGUAGAGGUGGGCGGAAUUCGUGGUGUAGCGGUGAAAUGCUUAGAUAUCACGAAGAACUCCGAUUGCGAAGGCAGCUCACUGGACUGCAACUGACACUGAUGCUCGAAAGUGUGGGUAUCAAACAGGAUUAGAUACCCUGGUAGUCCACACAGUAAACGAUGAAUACUCGCUGUUUGCGAUAUACAGUAAGCGGCCAAGCGAAAGCAUUAAGUAUUCCACCUGGGGAGUACGCCGGCAACGGUGAGACUCAAAGGAAUUGACGGGGGCCCGCACAAGCGGAGGAACAUGUGGUUUAAUUCGAUGAUACGCGAGGAACCUUACCCGGGCUUAAAUUGCAGUGGAAUGAUGUGGAAACAUGUCAGUGAGCAAUCACCGCUGUGAAGGUGCUGCAUGGUUGUCGUCAGCUCGUGCCGUGAGGUGUCGGCUUAAGUGCCAUAACGAGCGCAACCCUUAUCUUUAGUUACUAACAGGUUAUGCUGAGGACUCUAGAGAGACUGCCGUCGUAAGAUGUGAGGAAGGUGGGGAUGACGUCAAAUCAGCACGGCCCUUACGUCCGGGGCUACACACGUGUUACAAUGGGGGGUACAGAAGGCAGCUAGCGGGUGACCGUAUGCUAAUCCCAAAAGCCUCUCUCAGUUCGGAUCGAAGUCUGCAACCCGACUUCGUGAAGCUGGAUUCGCUAGUAAUCGCGCAUCAGCCACGGCGCGGUGAAUACGUUCCCGGGCCUUGUACACACCGCCCGUCAAGCCAUGGGAGCCGGGGGUACCUGAAGUACGUAACCGCAAGGAUCGUCCUAGGGUAAAACUGGUGACUGGGGCU